UACGGAGGGUGCAAACGUUGCUCGGAAUUAUUGGGCGUAAAGCGCACGUAGGCGGUUCGUCGCGUCGGCUGUGAAAACCCGGAGCUCAACUCCGGGCCUGCAGUCGAUACGGGCGGACUUGAGUGUUGCAGGGGAGACUGGAAUUCCUGGUGUAGCGGUGAAAUGCGCAGAUAUCAGGAGGAACACCGGUGGCGAAGGCGGGUCUCUGGGCAACUACUGACGCUGAGGAGCGAAAGCGUGGGGAGCGAACAGG
rnacentral:rRNA from 1 species